GAGAGAGACAAAGAUGAGAGGAUCGGGAGCAAGAACGAGAGCAGGUGACGGGCUUGGCGGGACGGAGGCCACGAACCGGUGUUACGACGGAGAGAGCUGCGACGCGCGCGGUCGACCAAACGAAGAUGGCGCAGAAUCGACCUUGCCGUAAUCGAGAUUACCCGAGGACACCGGGGAGGAUAUGGAAAAAUUCGUUCGUGAUAUAUUCACGGCUGUAGCUUCUAUCUUUCCGCACACGUACAUCCACUUCCCUUCCACGUCGUCGAUGCGAUAUAUCGCCAGUUUGAGAGACGAUGUCGGUGACCCGGAAUUUGCAUUUCCACGGAAAAUACGUCAAGGGAGGGCAUGCGGAGGAACAAGGACGGAGACUCGAGAGAAUUCCGACAGAUACUCUACUACCCAUCCGUACGAUCUUCCAAUCGUAAACGGCAACUUCCGAUUCGCAUGCCAGAUAGGAGGCAAUUGGCUGAAGGGUGGCAGAGCUUACAGGGAUACAACUGAUGAUAGGAGAGGGGCGUUCCUGAAAUAUUAAAAUAAUACAUGAAACAGCCCUGCGAAACUCUCUGCUGCUUGAACACUAGAGUGUUAUCUUGUUACGAGGAUGAGGUGAAGAAAUUAUGGUUUACCGCAGUAACGUGAGGAUCAUUAAUCGAAGCUACAACACGUGAUACUACGUGCUAUGCGAGAAAUCAAGAGUUAGAUCAUCAGGACCACGUCGGCGGAGAUGAGAAAUGUUUCAUAAAGAUAACCUCGAACUAAUCUAUGUCCUUCUAAAGUAACUGGCGAAUUACCUACUAUAAUUAUACACGCUGAUAUAUUGUAAUAUACGUAUGGAGAAAAAAAUGUGCAGGUAUAAUGUUGAAAGUGUAAUUAAUAAAUUCCAUUAAGCGCGCACGAGAUUUGAGAUUUAGCGCCAGAAGAUUUUUUCCCUUAUGUGAGCGUUAGGUUGGUAGUCCGGGAGUGAGCUAGGUUGGUAAUGCGAGAGUUAGGUUGGUGGAAGAACGGCAGUAGGAAAAGAAUAGGCGGCGAGACAAGAAGUAAAUAAAGCAUGUGCGAGUAAAUGUA